GCUAGAAACACUUAUAUCGUCUUUGUCAGUUUCACACCCAAUUUUAGGGUUCAUACUCCUCUUUGAUCUCUGACGACGCCGGUGUUCUUAUACAUUAUUUGAAACCAACCAUGGAUUUUCAACAGGUUGAAUUUCUAAAAUAGGUUUCUCUCGACGACUUCACGGCGAAUCUCUUGAUCAAGCUCGGUUCGUUCCGUUUCGUCUUCUUCUUUUCUGAAUCGUUACGAAAUGCAUUUAUCAUCAUUAACGACCGUCUUAAAUCUUCGACCACUAGAACCAUGAUUCCUCAUUCAAUGCAAUCUCACUCUCUACACGACGUAUCCAGUUCAAAGGUCUCGGUUACACUAGAAAGAGAGGUUGUCCAACGCUUACAAAUACAUCGAUUUGUGAUAAUAACUUUUACACCGCAAGCUGUUGAACACUAUAAACUGUUUAUUCCGAUGGGUUUCCCACGAGAACAAGCCAGGAAUGAUAACUUUCUUAGGUAAAUACUUGAGCUUGACACGUUUCUACCGAAUUUUCAUAUUAAUUUUUUGUUUGAAAUGUGAGUUGUUUGAAAAUUGGAUUGAAUUAUCAUAUUUCUUGCUUC